GAGCCCACAACCUUGGUAUGUGCCCUGAUUGGGAAUUGAACCGAGACCUUCUGGUUCAUAGGUUGAGGCUCAACCACUGAGCUGUGCCUGCUGGGCUCUACAGUAUUUUAUAUUAUUAGUUUUAGGCUGUUAUUAAAAGAAGUUCUAACGUGGUUUCUGAAAGUGAUUCUCAAGGAUUUUCUAUUUUAUCUAUUUGGAGUAAAUAGUACAUUCAAAUGAUAUGAUCUCAGAUGACAAAAAAGGAUACCAAGUAAAACCUCUCCGCUUCUUAUUCAUUGACCACUUCAUUGGCUAUCUCACAAAGAUGCUUAUUUCCAGAAAAAAAUUUAGGAGAGUUCAGGUAAAUAAUAAUUUGUCAUUAUUUUUACUUUGAGGCACUGGACAUGUAAUCCUACUUACUGUGAUUUAGGCUUAGUAUUAUCUCAAUUUGCACGUUGGUAGAGACAGUUUUAUUUGUGGGAACUUUCUAAAAUUUCUUUUUGUGUGAUGUGUGAUCUGACUCCUGGUAGUAAAACUCUUAAACCACGAUCUUCGAUCUUUAUUUAUUUUUUUGAUGAAUCAAAGAGAAUUUAGUUACUAUUUGCAGAAGUACUGUUUCUUUUUUCUUUUUCUUUGUUUCAAGUAAUUUGAGGGCGGCAAAUGAGUAGGCAAGUAGGCAAUUAAGCACGAAAGAAAAAACAAGUUAUGGUGGUCACAUUUUAUUUCUGUGAUUGGUAUAAAAGAUACUGUUAAGAAUAAUGGCCAAGUUUUAAAUUGAGUAAAUAAACUUUGAUAUCUAGUUUAACAUCUAAUCUGGAAAGUAGCAAAAAAGUAGGCCAGCAGAGUUUGGGUGGAUAACAGUAGCCAUUGUUCAAAUACUCUUAAGAGGAGAAUAGACUAGUAACCAAACUACUUGAGCUAUUUUAGAUGGUCAGAAUAGGUCAUUGUUGGUGCUUCUAGUGGGUUUAGAAGCAGAUUUAACUUUGUCAGCCAUUCUUUUCCAGGUUCAUUUAGGAGGUAAUUCUUUGUUAUUAGGCACCUUACUCAUUCACACUAGUAUGUUACCCAUGAUUCAUUUGGUUGCAGAGGGCAGAAUCGUUUAAAUUAAAAUGUAAUUUGUUGACUCAUAACUAGGCAGAAGUUAAGCCAGGCUGGCUUCAGGGGCACAAAGGAUGUCGUAAAGACAGGACUUCUGUUCUCUGCCUCUCAGCUGUGCUGUCUGUGGUGGUUUUUUUCUCAAAGGAGCUUUCUCCAUGUGGAGGUUAAGAUGUGCAGUAUAGCUCAUGUCGCCCUUACUGCUGGGGUCCCCAAAGACAGGAAUGUGUCUUUUGUCUGCAUUUCCAACAAAAUCACCAGGAAAUAUCCUUCUGGUCUUGUUUGGGUCAUAUAAGCCUCUCCCUGAAUCAGCAACUGGGGGCAGGGCACGGAGUCCGCUGGCCUUCUUGGUCUGUGCUUGCUUACCAUGUGUGUCAGUAGAUGUAUGAGCAUGUGGUCCAUUGUGGAUCAACUAGAGGACAGAGUUCUAGAAAGAACAACUUGCACCCAAGACAAAAGGGAUAAAAGGGAUAGGUGUCUAUUAUAGAUAUAUACAGGGAUGGGCAAAAGUAGGUUCAUAGUUACUUGUAUGGAAAAUAAUAACAAUAAACUUGCAAGUACUCACACCUGUAAACCUACUUUUGCCCAUUCUUCUGUUAUCGUUGUUACAUCAUAUAAUUACAUCAAUGGCAGUUACAUCAAACAUCUUUGAGAUCUAAUCUUGAGUAGCCCAACCUUUAUUUCUCAGUUUUUGCCUUGCUUCCUCACGAUAAUGUGUGUAUAAUUCAAAUACUGGGUUGUUAGUAUGGCAAUUUGUAGACUAGAGAAAACAAUUGAUUCAUAUUACCUUUGGGAACUUAUUUGCCAUCACUGCAAUAUUUGACAUGAUAAAAUUAUUUUCCUAAGGUUAUCUUAUCUUUUAAGUAGUUUAUAAUUUCAGAUGAUAACAGGGAAAAACUUGCCAGCACUGCUGUGAUAGUAUCACACUACAGCUAAUAGACAAAUUUCCAUUGUUGUCAUGUUUUAUUCUGUUAUUAAGGUGGUGAAAAUGGUGUUAUAGCAAACUAUUCACUUGGGCAUUAAAGCUGACUUGUUUUUAUUUGGUGUCCUGCCUAUUCAUCUUUAAAAUAUUUGAAAAUCACCCCAAAAAGGCAGUUUAGGGGAGAGUUGUGGAGGGCCCUGGCUGUGAGGUGUGUAUUUGUACUCCUUUAACUCCCAGAAGUUGGUAGAUACCAGGAGAUGAUCUCUAACUGGGCAUUUCUUAGAAAGCUCCAAUAAUUUUGGAGAGUGGUGGAAACUCUGGCCUUCCCUUAGAUUAGGUGCUAGCUUGAUGCCUCAAGAAUAGGGACUAGAGCCUCCCGCAGGACUUGAAGCUUUUAGAAAUAUGCUUUCACCUUAUUUGGGCUUGGUGAUUGCUUAGCUGAACUCGCAAUGAUUCUUUGGGAACAUUGUUUGGAGCCUUUCUUCACUUAAAAUUAAGGCCGGAAUAGUAAUUUCUUUUUAUACCGGAGCACUGUGUAUUUGGUAAGUUUGCAAUAUUUGUCGAACUCAUAUAGAUUUACUGUCUUACUGAUAUUUAAAGACAUUUGGGUGGAGAUAAGGAGAGACUUAUUAUUAUUUUUUUUCUAUGUGGGAGAUACUUAUUUUU